rnacentral:lncRNA from 1 species
AGCGGAGCCCUUUGCUGGCAACUCCUGCUGACCCUCGCGGUCAUCAGGGAUCUCCACUGCUAAAUCGAAAUCAUUCCUUAUACAAUUCCAUCUUGUGGUUGGAGCUCU